rnacentral:rRNA from 1 species
UGCUGUUUUAAACAAGCCUGAGAAUGCCUGAUCUCUUCUGAUUCUCAGAAGCUAAGCAGGGUUGGGCCAGGUUAGUAAUUGGAUGGGAGACUGCCUGGGAAUACCAGGUGCUAUAGGCU